rnacentral:rRNA from 1 species
GUAAGGAAUAUUGGACAAUGGGCGAAAGCCUGAUCCAGCCAUGCCGCGUGAGUGACGAAGGCCUUAGGGUUGUAAAGCUCUUUCAGCUGUGAGGAUAAUGACCGUAGCAGCAGAAGAAGCCCCGGCUAACUUCGUGCCAGCAGCCGCGGUAAUACGAAGGGUGCAAGCGUUAUCCGGAUUCAUUGGGUUUAAAGGGUGCGUAGGCGGAGCGUUAAGUCAGUGGUUAAAUCCUGCAGCUUAACUGUAGACUUGCCAUUGAUACUGGCGGUCUUGAGUGCGCUUGAAGUGGGCGGAAUGUGCCGUGUAGCGGUGAAAUGCUUAGAUAUGGCACAGAACACCAAUUGCGAAGGCAGCUCACUAAGGCGAUACUGACGCUGAGGCACGAAAGCGUGGGGAUCGAACAGGAUUAGAAACCCUUGUAGUCC